rnacentral:rRNA from 1 species
AUACGGAGGGUGCAAGCGUUAAUCGGAAUUACUGGGCGUAAAGCGUACGUAGGCGGCAAGUUAAGUUAGAUGUGAAAGCCCCGGGCUCAACCUGGGAACUGCAUUUAAAACUGGCUUGCUAGAGUUGAGUAGAGGGGAGUGGAAUUUCAGGUGUAGCGGUGAAAUGCGUAGAGAUCUGAAGGAACACCAGCGGCGAAGGCGACUCCCUGGACUCGAACUGACGCUGAGGUACGAAAGCGUGGGUAGCAAACGGGAUUAGAUACCCUAGUAGUCC